GGAUCUCAGAGUGAUCUGGCUGCAAAUCUGUCACCCCACUGAUGAGCAGGUUGGUUCGGCCAACCUGGCUGGUCAAGUGGGUGUCCUCUUCUUCCUGCACUGCUCCAUAUUCAUCCUUCCUGAAGCUGUGAGCUCCGUCAAACAGGACGAACAUCCCUGAUAGAGGACAGUUCCUCUGUCAAGGGUGUAUGAGUAGCUGCGCUCCCCUACUAGAACCUCCGGACAAGCUCUCAAAAAUGGAAUAUUGAAUUUAUUUACUUGUUCUAAU
rnacentral:sRNA from 1 species